rnacentral:lncRNA from 1 species
AAACUCCCUGCUAGAGAGACUAGGAGAUUUGGGGCUGCGGCCGUUUCCUCCGGAGCACCCACGGGACUGUGUGCUGGGGUCCCUCCACCGGCUGUGUCCUUUAUUCUUCUUUCUCACCCAACGAUUUACCUGAACGGUUAUAAAGUGCACGUUAUUUCCCUAAGGUCCUUCUUACUGAUGUGUUGCUCUUCUUCAUGGCUCGUGAAAACUAUUAGAGUCAUCCAAGGUUUGGAGACAGAAAGGAGCACCGCCAAGUGAGGCAGAGCAGUCUCAGAAACAUAGGAAAAUGGUGGGAAGAGAGAUCAGCAACGUUAACUGGGUGUCAAGAAAACAUACCGAGAUUGAAGCCAUCCACUUCUGCAGGAACACCGAAAAGAAAGCUUACAAUCUGAAGGUGUCCGUUCCUACACUGGUCAGACCACUGUCCUUGGGGCAGCUGGGGUCUUUGGGACCCUCCACCGG